ACGCGUCUCCGUUAAUGAUUUUAGGUGCUUGCACUUGAAAGAUUUAACAUUGAGACGAGUGGCGAACUGGUGAGUAACACGUGGGUAACCUGCCCUUGAAGUAGGGGAUAACACUUGGAAACAGGUGCUAAUACCGUAUAACAACCAAAACCACCUGGUUUUGGUUUAAAAGACGGCUUCGGCUGUCACUUUAGGAUGGACCCGCGGCGUAUUAGCUUGUUGGUAAGGUAACGGCCUACCAAGGCGAUGAUACGUAGCCGACCUGAGAGGGUAAUCGGCCACAUUGGGACUGAGACACGGCCCAAACUCCUACGGGAGGCAGCAGUAGGGAAUCUUCCACAAUGGACGAAAGUCUGAUGGAGCAACGCCGCGUGAGUGAUGAAGGGUUUCGGCUCGUAAAACUCUGUUGUUGGAGAAGAACAGGUGUCAGAGUAACUGUUGACAUCUUGACGGUAUCCAACCAGAAAGCCACGGCUAACUACGUGCCAGCAGCCGCGGUAAUACGUAGGUGGCAAGCGUUGUCCGGAUUUAUUGGGCGUAAAGCGAGCGCAGGCGGUUUUUUAGGUCUGAUGUGAAAGCCUUCGGCUUAACCGGAGAAGUGCAUCGGAAACCGGGAGACUUGAGUGCAGAAGAGGACAGUGGAACUCCAUGUGUAGCGGUGAAAUGCGUAGAUAUAUGGAAGAACACCAGUGGCGAAGGCGGCUGUCUGGUCUGUAACUGACGCUGAGGCU
rnacentral:rRNA from 1 species